rnacentral:rRNA from 1 species
UUGAGGGCUUAUAGCCAAAAAUGAUCAAAACUUUCAACAACGGAUUUUUGGUUCUGGCAUCGAUGAAGAACGCAGCGAAAUGCGAUAAGUAAUGUGAAUUGCAGAAUCCAGUGAAUCAUCGAAUCUUUGAACGCACAUUGCGCCCGCCAGUAUUCUGGCGGGCAUGCCUGUCUGAGCGUCAUUUCAACCCUCGUAACCAGCUUGCUGGAUGCGGUGUUGGGGAUCGGCCACCCGUACUGGGAGGCCGUCCCUUAAAUAGAGUGGCGGUUGCGCUGUGACCUCCUCUGCGUAGUAGCAAUAUCUCGCAGGCGGAUAGCGGUGUAACCACGCCGUAAAACCCCCAACUCUUCUUUGGUUGACCUCAGAUCAGGUAGGAAUACCCGCUGAACUUAAGCAUAUCAAUAAGCGGAGGAAAAGAAACCAACAGGGAUUGCCCUAGUAACGGCGAGUGAAGCGGCAACAGCUCAAAUUUGAAAUCUGGCUCUAGGGCCCGAGUUGUAAUUUGCAGAGGAUGUUUCUGGCAAGGUGCCUUCCGAGUUCCCUGGAACGGGACGCCAUAGAGGGUGAGAGCCCCGUUCUGGUUGGAUGCCGAGCCUCUGGAAACUC